UCGCUAGCCAGGAGUGACAGAGGUUUCAGGCUAGAUUUCCUUCACAUUCCUGGAGGCUCUUAUUAAUAUUUUGCAAGAGCAGAUCAGCACCAGCGCGCAGGAGAGCCGGGCGGCCGCACGGAGCCUCCUCUCUGCUGUUCCCCGUCCUGCUCCGGAGCAGCGCCGUGCUGGAGGAGCAGCCAGGUCAAUCUGACCAGAGAAGAGCACGGAUGAUGCUGGGGAGAUGCGCCCUGGGUCACAGCGGGUUUCUGCCCCAGGACUGGGUGCUUGCUGCCACCCCGCGUUGUCCCUGCUGCCACCCACGUGUGCAGGUCCCCAAACCCUCGGCAGGAGCUUUCCCACUCGGCCGAGGCACCGACGACGGAGCUAAGUUGGAAAAAUGGAGUAGGCUCAGCUGGGCUGGGACUUGCCUUCUGCUCCCUCGCUCCCUGCCACCAGGGCAGUCUGUCCCCACCGCCGCAGCCCUGACGGGGGUCCAGGCUUUGCGGGGGGGGGGCCGCCAGCUCCCCAUCGGGCAGGACCCCAUAUCCUGGCCCCGUUGGCACGAGGGGACGGAGCCGGGAGCGAGCACGGGCUGUGCCGGCCGAGCCAGCAUCUGGGCACCGCGUCCAAGGAAGCAGAGAAAGUCGUCUUUCUCCUUCAGCUCUUUUCAGUAAACAGAGGUCAGCCUUG